rnacentral:misc_RNA from 1 species
CUGAGAUGUGAACGGGACCUCGGUCCCGGGAUCCUCCCACAACCCUUUGUGAACACAAACCCUCUGUGUGAGACUGUUGCUUUGGCGGGUUCACGCCCGCCGGCAGCAUUCGACCAUGAACUCCUUUGUAACAUACCAUGGAUUCUGUCUGAAUAUUUCAAUCAAAUGAAAUUA